ensembl:lncRNA
CUAGUACCCUCCCCUGGACUGGUAUUACAGCCGAGACAGACAGGGGGCCCUUUCUACCUAGUGCCCUCCCCUGGACUGGUAUUACAGCCGAGACAGACAGGGGGCCCUUUCUACCUAGUACCCUCCCCUGGACUGGUAUUACAGCUGAGACAGACAGGGGCCCUUUCUACCUAGUACCCUCCCCUGGACUGGUAUUACAGCCGAGACAGACAGGGGGCCCUUUCUACCUAGUACCCUCCCCUGGACUGGUAUUACAGCUGAGACAGACAGGGGGCCCUUUCUACCUAGUACCCUCCCCUGGACUGGUAUUACAGCCGAGACAGACAGGGGGCCCUUUCUACCUAGUACCCUCCCCUGGACUGGUAUUACAGCUGAGACAGACAGGGGGCCCUUUCUACUCAGGCACAGGGAGGGGCAGCUCAGAACCUUUGUGGUCCUGAGUGAUUCUCUGCCACAACAACUAACAUGGAUUAAAAAAAGGAAAGUGUAACAAUGGUCCUUCUGUGUUAGUGGCUGAAAAUGUCAGGUCUUCCUCUUCUGAUGCUAUGAUGCCCAGUUCUGUCUGUGGGUAGUCUGGUGCUGGGAGGUUACUAGGCUUCACAGACAACAGUCUGGUGCUGUGAGGUUACUAGGCUUCACAGACAACAGUCUGGUGCUGGGAGGUUACUAGGCUUCACAGACAACAGUCUGGUGCUGUGAGGUUACUAGGCUUCACAGACAACAGUCUGGGGCUGGGAGGUUACUAGGCUUCACAGACAACAGUCUGGUGCUGGGAGGUUACUAGGCUUCACAGACAACAGUCUGGUGCUGUGAGGUUACUAGGCUUCACAGACAACAGUCUGGGGCUGGGAGGUUACUAGGCUUCACAGACAACAGUCUGGUGCUGGGAGGUUACUAGGCUUCACAGACAACAGUCUGGUGCUCUGAGGUUACUAGGCUUCACAGACAACAGUCUGGUGCUGUGAGGUUACUAGGCUUCACAGACAACAGUCUGGGGCUGGGAGGUUACUAGGCUUCACAGACAACAGUCUGGUGCUGGGAGGUUACUGGGCUUCACAGACAAGUCUGGUGCUGGGAGGUUACUAGGCUUCACAGACAACAGUCUGGUGCUGGGAGGUUACUAGGCUUCACAGACAACAGUCAGACUUCCUGUCUGUAAGCGUCCCCAUGUUCAGAAUUAUAUUUGUAUUAUUCUCACUAGUCUUUAUUUACACAUUUAAUAUUUCUUGGGAGCUGCUUGUGUCUGGAUGGUGUGCUAACCUGUUUGACAUUAUAAUAAUGUAAUAUAAUUUAUAUCGUUUGUAUUAUUCUAACAUAAUAUUGUGGGUCUUUUUAUUCUGUAAUUUCUUCCUGGGGG